AAAAAGUCUGCUAAGUUGAAGACCACAAAGGGCAACUUAUGCAAAAAUUAGGGCAUCUCAGUAGGAUAAGAGCUUCAAAGAAGCAUUCAAGGAAAAAUUAGGGAUAAAGAAAAAAAGAAGAAGAGAUCAUCAAACCAUCAACAAAACAAAAAUAAAAUAAGGUGACUGACAUUUUAAGAAAGUAUCUUGAAUCUUCAUCUUAACCAUCA
rnacentral:lncRNA from 1 species